UUCUAUUAUAUAUUUAGUCAAUAAUUUGUGUAUUGAAACUUUAGUUUGAUCAAUGUUUCAGGCCCCCUAAUAAAGUUACUGCUAUUUGAACGUCUGAUUCUGAUACAGACAGUUUCUUUUCUAAGUGAAAUCAUGUCCAUGACGAGUAGUAUUGAUGGAUUUUUGAAGAGGUUUGACUCUUGAAGCUAGAGAUAUUCCUGGCUAAAUUUAUCAAUUGUAAUAACAGACGGUAAUUCGGUAAACUACCAGGAUCAAACAGUUUUGGGAUAACAUUGAUAAUGAGCAGUUUAAUUGUGGUUGAUGCUGAAGUCCUAGAAUGGUAAAAACAGCGAGUUAAUGCAGCAGUUAGUUUUUCCUAAUAUUUCAAGAAAGAUGAUGUGCUGGAGCUGACCAAAUGGUCUGUGGCUCCUUUCCCUAUUCCUGAGCUUGAUUCAGAGAAAGUCAGUGUAGCAGCUCAAGAAGAAGAAGAGGAAUCUGUUCAAGAGCACUUUUCAUCCCCCUUCCACUACUAUUUUGAUUCAGAGUCAGAAUCAUUUGAUGAAAAGUGAUCUAAUCUGGGGCAACAGUGACAAAAUUGAUGAUUCGAUUUCAUAUCAAUUCCUGGGUGGCAAAAUUUUCGGUGAAGGAUUUGAACCUGAGAUUCUGAAGCUUAUUACGAGAGAGGAAAGACAAGAGGAUCUGGAUGAAAAGCAAUCUUCAUGUGAUAGAAAAUUUUCAGAAUUUGGAGUUCAUGGUGUGUUUAUUCUGAAGAUGAGUAUAUUGAAAUGGAACCUGGCAUGAUGCGUUUUAAGUCUUUGAAUGUGCAUGGUUUUGGUGAUGUAUCAGAACCUGAUGAGCAAGAUGAGGAUGAUUUUCAAUGUAUCAUGUUGUAUUCUUCCUGGAACCAAUACAAGAAAUACAUGUAUUUCUUAUUUUGUGGAUGUUUAAUUGAAUUGGUGUUUCAUCACUUUUUUUCAGCAACAAUGCCAAUAAUAUAUGUUUAUAAUGAGAGAUGCAGUCCAGAUAUACACUACAGGGAAUGCGAAAUGAGAGAUGCAGAUGACACAACAACAUGCACUUCAAGCAUGAGCCCCAACGUUUUGUUUUCCCCUUUAAGUUCCUAUAGUUACUUUUAUAUGAAA